AAGUCGUAACAAGGUUUCCGUAGGUGAACCUGCGGAAGGAUCAUUAACACGUUCCAAACGUUCUAAACCAAACCGGUUAAUGUACAACCCUCUCCCUAAUAAAGAUAAGCUGUGAUUCAUGUCUUUAGUGAUGUGGUGAUUGUUACCAUUCAGAGUUGUCAAAACUCUGUUGUUCUCAAUCACGAAGAGAUGAAUGACUCGAAUGUUCGAAUUCAAGGCUUUCUUUAUUAGGAUCUUUACAAGCUAUCUCAUUGUAAUUCUUUCCCACACAUCAUUGGAAGCUUUACAAUGAGAUGGUUUUAACUUCUAACGAUUUUCACCCCUUUCUAUAACCACUUGUCUAAAUCCUUCUUUCAUCUGUACAAAGAAAUUUGUAUCGAAAGAAUUUAUCCAAAUUGUAAUGUACAACUCUUAGCAAUGGAUAUCUUGGUUCUCA
rnacentral:misc_RNA from 1 species